rnacentral:rRNA from 1 species
ACGCUGGCGGCAGGCUUAACACAUGCGAGUCGAACGGUAACAGGGAUUAGCUUGCUAAUCUGCUGACGAGUGGCGGACGGGUGAGUAAUGCUUGGGAAUCUGGCUUAUGGAGGGGGAUAACUACGGGAAACUGUAGCUAAUACCGCGUAAAAUCUUCGGAUUAAAGGGUGGGACUUUCGAGCCACCUGCCAUAAGAUGAGCCCAAGUGGGAUUAGGUAGUUGGUUAGGUAAAGGCCGACCAAGCCGACGAUCUCUAGCUGGUCUGAGAGGAUGACCAGCCACACUGGAACUGAGACACGGUCCAGACUCCUACGGGAGGCAGCAGUGGGGAAUAUUGCACAAUGGGGGGAACCCUGAUGCAGCCAUGCCGCGUGAAUGAAGAAGGCCUUCGGGUUGUAAAGUUCUUUCGGUGACGAGGAAGGUUGGUAGGUUAAUAGCCUAUCAAAUUGACGUUAAUCACAGAAGAAGCACCGGCUAACUCCGUGCCAGCAGCCGCGGUAAUACGGGGGGUGCGAGCGUUAAUCGGAAUAACUGGGCGUAAAGGGCACGCAGGCGGUGACUUAAGUGAGAUGUGAAAGCCCCGAGCUUAACUUGGGAAUUGCAUUUCAUACUGGGUCGCUAGAGUACUUUAGGGAGGGGUAGAAUUCCACGUGUAGCGGUGAAAUGCGUAGAGAUGUGGAGGAAUACCGAAGGCGAAGGCAGCCCCUUGGGAAUGUACUGACGCUCAUGUGCGAAAGCGUGGGGAGCAAACAGGAUUAGAUACCCUGGUAGUCCACGCUGUAAACGAUGUCGAUUUGGGGAUUGGGCUUUGAGCUUGGUGCCCGUAGCUAACGUGAUAAAUCGACCGCCUGGGGAGUACGGCCGCAAGGUUAAAACUCAAAUGAAUUGACGGGGGCCCGCACAAGCGG